ACGGGAGGCAGCAGUGGGGAAUAUUGCACAAUGGGCGAAAGCCUGAUGUAGCGACGCCGCGUGAGCGAAGAAGUAUUUCGGUAUGUAAAGCUCUAUCAGCAGGGAAGAUAAUGACGGUACCUGACUAAGAAGCACCGGCUAAAUACGUGCCAGCAGCCGCGGUAAUACGUAUGGUGCAAGCGUUAUCCGGAUUUACUGGGUGUAAAGGGAGCGCAGGCGGUACGGCAAGUCUGAUGUGAAAGCCCGGGGCUCAACCCCGGUACUGCAUUGGAAACUGUCGGACUAGAGUGUCGGAGGGGUAAGUGGAAUUCCUAGUGUAGCGGUGAAAUGCGUAGAUAUUAGGAGGAACACCAGUGGCGAAGGCGGCUUACUGGACGAUAACUGACGCUGAGGCUCGAAAGCGUGGGGAGCAAACAGGAUUAGAUACCCUGGUA
rnacentral:rRNA from 1 species